rnacentral:rRNA from 1 species
UACGAAGGGGGGCUAGCGUUGUUCGGAAUUACUGGGCGUAAAGGGCGCGUAGGCGGCUCAUGAAGGCUGUGGUGAAAGUCCGGGGCUCAACCUCGGAUCGGCCGUGGCGACUCGUGGGCUGGAGCACUGUAGAGGCGGGUGGAAUUCCGGGUGUAGCGGUGGAAUGCGUAGAGAUCCGGAAGAACACCAGUGGCGAAGGCGGCC